GCCCGGGUGGCGAAAUCGGCAGACGCAAAGGACUUAAAAUCCUUUUCACCGCAAGGUGAGUGCGGGUUCAAUUCCCGCCCCGGGCACCA
rnacentral:tRNA from 1 species